rfam:Schizophyllum commune H4-8 unplaced genomic scaffold SCHCOscaffold_1, whole genome shotgun sequence.
CCUCUCUUAGCUCAGUUGGAAGAGCAUCAGACUGUAAUGGUUACCGUGUCAUCUGGGGGUCGCCUGUUCGAACCAGGCAGAGAGGA